AAACCAAUGCUAAGAACAUUUCCAGAGGAGAUCCUUGAACCCAUUACAUGUCUCAAAAAGAGACUCCAAAUCUGUGUGUAGAAAAGAGGAUAAUUCAUUCCUGAGCUU